GAACGAAGGCCUUUUCGGCGCCUCCUUCCUUGACCUGCGAUUCCUUCUUUGUCCGCGAUUGUUAGGUGCAGAAGCGACGAAAAAAAAAAGAGGAUGUGGGGAGUGCAAACCACGGAAGCGCCACACACACACACACACACACACACACACACACACAAACAGUGAGAGAAGCGCACCUCGAGUUGUUACCGUUAUUCAUUGACCUUUUUUUUUGGUUAUUUCGUGCUCCUUUCGCCACUCUUGCUGCAUCGUCGUAUAGCAACUCCCUCAUCCCCCCGCCGCGAAUUCAAGCUGGCAAGUUUGGCGUUGCCUAUCCGUUGCCGCUGUUGCGGCUAUCGAUUAUACAAGGCACACGUGCGUUCCUUGCUUCUCUCACCUCUCUUUUUACCGUAAAGUCGUCGUGUGCGAGCGGACCCUCCUUCAUUCGCUGAUUGAUUCUUCUACCGUCGUUGCUGCGCCGUGAGCCGCUCCAGAUGUCGGGAGGUUUUUGUAAAGGUUUACUUCGCAUUUUCUUUUCGUCUUCUCCCUGCGGGGUGAAACGUUGCGCGGAUUCUCUGUGCUGCUCCCCUCUAUCGCUCCAUCCCUCUUCGUUUUGUGUCACCUGCUGAUUCACCCCUCCCACCCCACCCGCUCACCGUAUAGUCCAUCUCCUCCUUCCUCCGCGUAGCGACUUGCCGAGUCGACGGCGCUUGGGCCCCGGUCGCCGACCCUCCCUUCUUCAUGUUUUCCUCUUUCUCUCUGCAUCCUCCCACAACGCCGCGCUGUACCGGCGCUGGUUCGCGCAGCGCCUUUCUCUUUCCUUUUUUUUUUUCAUGUUUUCCACAUUUCGCGCUCCGUUGCCCCAUUCGUGGCGCGCUGCGUCAUGCUCGGAGUGCUGCGAGGGAUUCGCAUCUACACACAAUGAGGAAGGCGUUCCUUAAGCAGUGAACGCUGAAGGCCGACCCUCGCUCGCUCUCUGUCCAGAUCUUCUCCGGACCGUCUUCUCCCUAAGCCAGCAAGCGAGUGCGCCAGUCCCUGCAGCAACUAUUCGUGCUCGGCUCCUUUUACGCAUCUUUGCACAAGUGUUCUCGGAACAUAACAGCGCGACGAGAUCGGAGGUACUGUCGAGCUUUCUUCCCUUGGUCCGGUCGAAGCGCGAUAAACGUUCCGCCUGCCAUGCUUACUUCUUCCAUGUUGAGUAAAGGCCUCUGGUGCUUUUAUGGCACUCUUGUCUCUUGCUGAUUUCACUUUCAGCGCCUCCACCAUACGUUUCGCCCACCUACGAGACCCCCCUCUUCGUCUCCCCACCCGGUGAGACAACACGCUGGACGGAUUAAGUUGCCCAGCACCCUCGUCGGUGUACACAGACACUAGCAUACACACGCGUAUGUAUGCUCUUGCAUGAAAGACACGCUCUAUGCCUGCUGGCAUGCCCCUCUCGGUGUGUAGGCGGCACGACCGCGCAGACACCGCCCCCCUCUCCUCCUCGAAAUCGGGUGGGCUGCGACGAACAUGUAGACUCGCUUGAUGGCGUUGGUGCAACGCACUUCUCCUCUCACUUGCCUUCCCCUUUCUCUCCGUUCUCACGCUGGCGAAGGAGAAGGGGGCGCUCGCCUCCACGAAGGACGUGCAACCUUGCUCGUCGUUGGCUUCCGAAGCUCGAACUCUUUCGCAAGCAUCACCAUCGUCGGCAUCGGUCAACUUUAGUUUUGGCUUGCAAGAGAGGGGGAGAGCGGGAAAGAGCGGGGGUGGGAGGAGGUGAGACACGCCUAACUUGCCGUUGCUGUUUUCAUAUCUCUUGCCUGCCUCGACUGCAGUCGCUGCCUUUCGCCCAUUUCUGGCGUUAUGUGUGCAUAUGCAUCCUAUCCGCUCGUCGACGCACACAACACUGCCUUGCCCUGCCACGCACCACACUCUCCACUUCACGUACUCCCCUCAUUGCUCUUCAUUCACGGUAG
rnacentral:misc_RNA from 1 species